CCUGCCCCUUGAGUCAUUGACGGUGUGGCUGCAGUGUCACAUGUGCAGUACUAGGUGGCAAGAGGAGAGAGGUGUUGGCUAUAAUCACUAUUCUGACUUGUGAACAUAUGAAUGAUUAGUAGCCUAACAUU